rnacentral:rRNA from 1 species
GUUAUAGUUCACUUGAUGGUGUGUGUUACAUGGAUAACUGUGGUAAUUCUAGAGCUAAUACAUGCUUCUUGGCCCGACUUUCGCGGAAGGGCUGUUUUUAUUAGUUACAAAACUAACCUAGACUCUGUCUAGUCUUUUGUUGAUUCAUGAUGUUUGGAUGGAUUGCAUGGCAGCAGCUGGUGACACAUCAUUCAAGUUUCUGACCUAUCAGCUUCCGACGGUAAGGUAUUGGCAUACCGUGGCAAUGACGGGUAACGGAGAAUUAGGGUUCGAUUCCGGAGAGGGAGCCUGAGAAACGGCUACCACAUCUAAGGAAGGCAGCAGGCGCGCAAAUUACCCAAUCUUGACACAAGGAGGUAGUGACAAGAAAUAACAAUACAGGGCAUCCAUGUCUUGUAAUUGGAAUGAAUAGAAUUCAAACCCUUUUGUUAGUAUCGAUUGGAGGGCAAGUCUGGUGCCAGCAGCCGCGGUAAUUCCAGCUCCAAUAGCGUAUAUAAAAGUUGUUGCGGUUAAAAAGCUCGUAGUUGGAUUUCUGCUGAAGACAACCGGUCUGCCCUCUGGGUGAGCAUCUGGUUUGGAUUCGGCAUCAUCUUAGAGAACGUAUCUGCACUUGACUGUGUGGUGCGGUAUCUUAGACUUUUACUUUGAGGAAAUCAGAGUGCUUCAAGCAGGCGAAUGCCUUGGAUACAUUAGCAUGGAAUAAUAUUUUAGGACCUUGGUUCUAUUUUGUUGGUUUCUAGAAUUGAGGUAACGUUUAAUAGGGAUAAUUGGGGGCAUUCGUAUUUAACUGUCAGAGGUGAAAUUCUUGGAUUUGUUAAAGACGGACCAAUGCGAAAGCAUUUGCCAAGGAUGUUUUCUUUGAUCAAGAACGAAAGUUAGGGG